GCCCAGGGGAGUGGGAAGUAAGUGGAGACACGUGCUUUGGCCUGUUGGAGGGGAAACCCGCUCUCGCCUCCUGGUGGUCGCCGACUCGCAGUCCGCAGGAUGACUCAGGGCAGCCCUGACCACAGUUCCGCCGCCAUCGGCCCUAGCCUGCGGAAUUGGGCUCGCCCCGGGACGAUAACAGAGCUCUGCCGGGGGCUGGAGGCACUGACCGGGUGACCAGAGACCCAGAGACCAGACCCCCUCCACGGCGCCCGGGAUUUCGGGGACGGCUUCUCCCAUCGCAAGUUUCAACAGAAAAUGAGAAAUAUCCCCCGACGAUUGGCUGAAAACAUGCAGCAACCACUAUUUUCUUCCUGCCCCUCGUUGAUGAGAGCAUUCGAAGUGACCUCAGCAGGGCAUCCAGGUCAGUUUCUGGAAGACUUGUGUGUGUGAUGAAUGAAUAUCUGGUUUUGUCUCUGCUGGGCCUGUGUGCCUGGAAAGGAAUUGUUUUGGCCUAGGAUCAUCCAGGAACCAUUUUUCCCUCUAAUGGUAGUUUACGUUAGAAGUAUUUCCUGUUCUAGGCCCGGUGCAGUGGCUCAUGUCUGUAAUCCCAGCACUUUGGGAGGCCAAGGCAGGUGGAUCACCUGAGGUCAGGAGUUCGAAACCAGCCUGGCCAACAUGGCAAAACCCCAUCUCUACUAAAAAUACAAAAAUUAGUCAGGCGUGGUGGUGCAUACCUGUAAUCCCAGCUACUCGGGAGGCUGAGGUACGAGAAAUGCCAGAACCCAGGAGGCAGAGGUUGCAGUAAGCCAUCGUCGUGCCACUGGACUUCAGCCUGGGCGACAGUGAGACUGUCUCAAAAAAAAAAAAAAGUAUUUCCUGUUCCUACACAUUGGCCCAUUGAGAGGAUCCCAGGUCUAUGCAUGGGGACACCGUCUUUUUGGCUCAUGUUGAGCCACAUGUCCUGCAGUAUUUGGAAGUGUUCUGGGACAGACUUUGUUCACAUAAAGAUCGCGUGCCCUUCACUGCAGUGAUGAAGCUGGAGACUGUCUUUCUCUGUGACAAGGACCUCAGCCCUGGAUCUGUCCUCUCCUAGUGCCCACCUCAUUCAUGGAGCUCACCCCGUGGUUUUGGAAUUGUUUCCUUCCCUGUGCCUUAGCUUCCCUGAACACUACUUCUACACUAGCUCCUUGAGAGUGGGAGCCCUGGACUUAUUGCUUUUUCAACAGAGUAGAUAUGUGUGUUUCAUUUAUAUCAGUAUUUAAAUUGCUAGCAACAAGACCACAAAAACUACAUUCUCAUAGAAGCCUGUUUGGGUUUGAUGUGGUUACAUGUGAUUAAUGUAUUUGAAAUAGUUAUUUGUUGUGAUUUUUUUUUUCAGAUCAAUUAUGCAGCUACAGCCAAAACCAAGUUCUUUUUAUUGCAAUGGUAAUGAAAGGAGCCCCGUGUAAGUCACUGGAAGGUCACAUGUUCACAGACUGUCAGCUGUGGAGGGUUAUGUAACAGUGGUUAUGCAAUGCCACGUUAGAACUACAGCCCGAGCAGCAAAACAUUUAGAUAAUUUUAUUGAAUUAAAAUAAGACUUCCACUCUCUUUGAAUGACAAAUCCCUUUUAACAAAACCAAGACUUGGGUUUUAAUGUUGACUCCCACACGAGGCUCCGUAAGCCACAUUUUACCUUCUAUGCGUGGCUGGCCCCAUUGAGUAGAUUUCUGAAAGUCAAAUUUCUGACAUGAGCCUAUUUGAAAACUUUGCUCAGUUGUCAUCUUCUAUCAGGAUGAGUUAUGGACGAAGCCCCCCAUAAAUCCUAAGGCACAUCUUGAAGCCCCUAAAAUCCAAAGGCAUGGCCGGGCUCACAUCUGUAAUCCCA
ensembl:lncRNA SNHG20 small nucleolar RNA host gene 20